rnacentral:rRNA from 1 species
GACGAAGGGGGCUAGCGUUGUUCGGAAUUACUGGGCGUAAAGCGAGUGUAGGCGGUUUGAUAAGUCGGAUGUGAAAGCCCUGGGCUCAACCCAGGAAGUGCACUCGAUACUGUCAAGCUAGAGUAUCGGAGAGGUUGGUGGAAUUCUCGGUGUAGAGGUGAAAUUCGUAGAUAUCGAGAGGAACACCGGUGGCGAAGGCGGCCAACUGGACGAAUACUGACGCUGAGACUCGAAAGCGUGGGGAGCAAACAGG